GUCUACAGCCAUGCUACCCUGAACAAGCCUGAUCCCAUCUGAUCUCAGAAGCUAAGCAGGGUUGGGCCUGCUUAGUACUUGGAUGGGAGACCACCUAGGAAGACCAAGUGUUGUAGGUA
rnacentral:rRNA from 1 species